rnacentral:rRNA from 1 species
CAGUAGCCGCGGUAAUACGUAGGUCCCGAGCGUUGUCCGGAUUUAUUGGGCGUAAAGCGAGCGCAGGCGGUUAGAUAAGUCUGAAGUUAAAGGCUGUGGCUUAACCGUAGUACGCUUUGGAAACUGUUUAACUUGAGUGCAGAAGGGGAGAGUGGAAUUCCAUGUGUAGCGGUGAAAUGCGUAGAUAUAUGGAGGAACACCGGUGGCGAAAGCGGCUCUCUGGUCUGUAACUGACGCUGAGGCUCGAAAGCGUGGGGAGCAAACAGGAUUAGAUACCCCCGUAGUCCCUGUCUCUUAUACA